rnacentral:lncRNA from 1 species
AAGUCUAUAAUAUAAGAAAACUAAUGGUUCUGGAAAAGUUAAUUAUGUCUCUUGCCCUUUUAUAAUCACUUAUGCAAUUUUGUUAAAUAAAUUUCUCUACACAUUUGCAAAUUUCUUUUCUCUUUUUCUUUUUUCCUCGGGCUCUCUCUCUCUUUUCUCCUACCAUUUUUCUUUCUCUCUUCUCUCUCUUUGCUUGUUGCAUCUCUCACAUUCCUCUCAAUUAUUUCUUCUUUAUUUUCUCUCAUUCUCUCAUUCAUUUAUAUCUCAUCUCUUUAUCUUCAUCAAUAUUUUACACCUUUGUGAUUUAU